CUAAUUUUGUGUAUAAUAAACAUGAGAUCUUUGGACAAGUAACUUCUUAAGACAUAAAUACACUAUUUUGCAUAAACAAGAAACUUGGCUUCCGUUUUCUUCUCAUGAAAAGCUUAUUUGCUUGCACAGCUCAGCUCAGAAGUCAGAAUCAGAACUCGUAAGAUACAUCCCUCUCGAAGAGCCUACCAUCUUUAUCGCGUUACAACAAAAUUACCAAAAUCUGCCACUUCCAAGAAACUUCUGAGAUCCUCUUCUGGAAACGUGUUUUUUCCUCAAAAGUAACAACAAAAUAAGAAAGACACGAAAGAGCCUCAUUAUUUAUUUAAACAUAUUAAGAAUAUUCCUAUUGAAGACAAAGGCAUACAAAGGCACCAACCAUGCCCCCUUACCGCGUAAAUCUAUAAAAAAAACAUACAAAAUCAAAUAUAAACAACUAAUAAGAAUAUUAUUUUGGACUCGACGAUUAAAUGUUUUUAAUUAUUGUAUUGUGUUGGGUUUUUUUUUUUUUUUUUUUUCUUUUUUAACUUUUACGCCAGAAAUUCUACAAUCCCUUGGAAGUUAUUUUUACUUAUAACUUCUUAGUCCAAAACAUGAUAAACGAAAUUAACGUUCUCUCCAACGGCUAAUUAAAUAACCAUUAAAAGUUUGAAUUAACUACUUCAAAUUUUAAAUGUGUAGUUGGAAAAAAUAAUCUGAAAAUGGAUUGGUAAGUUCCUAAAUAAUCGACCAAUUCUCUUCUUACUAAAACAAUAAGCUAGAACAAUUUUUUAUAGACCAAUUCUUUUUUUAUUUUAAUGAAUCUCAAUAUAGUCAAUACUCAUACAUAAAAAAC